UUCUGGUCCUCAUGCAUGUUAAUGUCUUAAAGAGGAAGGAAAGGACUGUUCUGUAUCAGCUACUUGUGUUCUGACUACUAUAAAUAUGUAUCAACCACAGAACACACACUUACCAGCAGUUCCCACUCAAUACCAGUCAGUUAACUCACUGUACAAGACUCUCCCCUUCAGUCUACUGCAGGGUGGGAGAUGCAACAAUGGCCUUGAGAACAGCAGGAAGUGUGUUGGUGGUCUUUCUCUGGUCUGUGGCAGUGGUACUGGGUCAGUAUGGCUGGAGUGUGACAUACACCACUCAGAGUAUCUGUACCUUGAAGGGGUCAUCAGUGAAUCUGUUCUGCUCUUACACAUAUCCCAGUGGUUAUACAGUCACAACAACCUUCUGGUUCACUAAAUGGGGGACUGGUAUAGAACCUGAAGAUCUAGGUCAGGACCCAGAGUAUGCAGGUCGUCUGGAGUAUCAUGGAGAUAAGAAGAAAGACUGUACCCUGAGAAUCACAGACCUGAGAGAGAGAGACUCAGCUACGUACAAGUUCAGAUUACUAACAGAUCAGGAAGGAGGGAAAUA